GGAUUACAUUUGGGACCUGUCUCGGAACAAUGUAGCAUGGUAAUACAACACGCGUACAGGCAAUGUACGUACGCUUAACACACACCGGUAUAAACUCAUUAAAACGGAAUUCCAUAGGUGUUAGUACACCGGUAAAAACUCAUUAAAACGGAAUUCCCUAGGUGUAAGUAUAGUACCUGGAUACAUGUUAGGAGGAACAUCAAUAAUGACAAUGAAACAGCACAGCACAGUAAACACUUGGUGUUAGUGGCUAACGAGAACAUGACAGGAUAACGUUCCUGUUUGCAAAGAACCAGAAAAAACUGCUCUAUAUCAGAAGCAAAAUGGUUGGUGGGGAUGUUUAAUGUAUAUUGGUAACGAUUAGCCUUAAACUUAAGAAGCAAAUAAAAAGUGGUACCUAUAAAAAUGGGGAAAAUUAUAGUAUUCGCAAAACUACAUUUACGGCUCUGAUAGAAAAUUUUACAACGAUCCAUUUGAAACUCCGACAUCUCACCAGUUAGUAUGGCUUUAAGAAUUAGAUAUAAACUACAGUUCGUAUGUUGAAACGGAGCGUCCGAAUCAGGUCGUUCAGCCAAUUGAAUAAUAUAUGAAAUGGUAACUCAUGUGAGAUACUAUAUGUAUUGGCAUGAUCAUAGCUGCAUCUUAUUUUAUGUUUCAAAAUGAACCAUGGCAAAAAUGAAAAAAGUGAUACUAUAUUCGAAACAGCUUUAUUGGAAACGAAAUACAAAAUUAGUUCAGUGGUAAUUUUUUUGUCUCUAGAUUUGGUGUUGAAAUUAAUAUUCAAUGAUUGCAAAUCGUGUUUAUUAUCAAGAGAGAAGUACAUGAUAGAGUACA